GUGGGGAAUAUUGGACAAUGGGCGCAGGCCUGAUCCAGCCAUACCGCGUGGGUGAAGAAGGCCUUCGGGUUGUAAGGCCCUUUUGUUGGGAAAGAAAUCCUGUCGGUUAAUACCUGGCGGGGAUGACGGUACCCAAAGAAUAAGCACCGGCUAACUUCGUGCCAGCAGCCGCGGUAAUACGAAGGGUGCAAGCGUUACUCGGAAUUACUGGGCGUAAAGCGUGCGUAGGUGGUGGUUUAAGUCCGUUGUGAAAGCCCUGGGCUCAACCUGGGAAUUGCAGUGGAUACUGGAUCACUAGAGUGUGGUAGAGGGAUGCGGAAUUUCUGGUGUAGCAGUGAAAUGCGUAGAGAUCAGAAGGAACAUCCGUGGCGAAGGCGGCAUCCUGGGCCAACACUGACACUGAGGCACGAAAGCGUGGGGAGCAAACAGGAUUAGAAACCCCGGUAGUCC
rnacentral:rRNA from 1 species